GAGGGUAUAGCUCAGUGGCAGAGUGCAUGCUUAGCAUGCACAAGAUCCUGGGUUCAAUCCCCAGUACCUCCA
rnacentral:tRNA from 1 species